rnacentral:tRNA from 1 species
GCCUUCAUGGUGUAGUAGUCAGCACGCUCGGCGCGUAACCGAGAGGUCCGUGGUUCGAUUCCUGGCGAAGGCG